rnacentral:rRNA from 1 species
UGGGGAAUUUUGGACAAUGGGGGAAACCCUGAUCCAGCGACGCCGCGUGGAGGAUGAAGGUCUUCGGAUUGUAAACUCCUUUUAGAGGGGAAGAAUGCCCAGGUGAAAAAUCUGGGGUGACGGUACUCUCUGAAUAAGCCGCGGCUAACUACGUGCCAGCAGCCGCGGUAAUACGUAGGUGGCAAGCGUUACUCGGAAUCACUAGGCGUAAAGCGCAGGUAGGCGGUUGGGUAAGUCUGUUGUGAAAGCUCCUGGCUCAACUGGGAGAGGCCAACAGAAACUACUCGGCUAGAGUGCAGAAGGGGCAAUCGGAAUUCUUGGUGUAGCGGUGAAAUGCGUAGAUAUCAAGAGGAACACCUGAGGUGAAGACGGGUUGCUGGGCUGACACUGACGCUGAGGCGCGAAAGCGUGGGGAGCAAACAGGAUUAGAUACCCUAGUAGUCCCUGAGCGGGCUGGCAAGGCGCAU